UAUUCUGGUGGCGACCGGCGCACGGGUGAGUAACACGUAUGUAACCUACCUUGUACUGGGGGAUAGCCCGGAGAAAUUCGGAUUAAUACCCCAUGAUUAUAUAGAAAGGCAUCUUUUUAUAUUUAAAGUUUCGACGGUACGGGAUGGGCAUGCGUAACAUUAGCUAGUUGGUAAGGUAACGGCUUACCAAGGCUUUGAUGUUUAGGGGUCCUGAGAGGGUGAUCCCCCACACUGGUACUGAGACACGGACCAGACUCCUACGGGAGGCAGCAGUGAGGAAUAUUGGUCAAUGGGCGUAAGCCUGAACCAGCCAUCCCGCGUGCAGGAAGAAGGCGCUAUGCGUCGUAAACUGCUUUUCCAGGGGAAGAAAACCCGCUACGUGUAGCGGCUUGCCGGUACCCUGGGAAUAAGGAUCGGCUAACUCCGUGCCAGCAGCCGCGGUAAUACGGAGGAUCCAAGCGUUAUCCGGAAUCAUUGGGUUUAAAGGGUCCGUAGGCGGUUUAGUAAGUCAGUGGUGAAAGCCCAUCGCUCAACGGUGGAACGGCCAUUGAUACUGCUAGACUUGAAUUAUUAGGAAGUAACUAGAAUAUGUAGUGUAGCGGUGAAAUGCUUAGAGAUUACAUGGAAUACCAAUUGCGAAGGCAGGUUACUACUAAUGGAUUGACGCUGAUGGACGAAAGCGUGGGUAGCGAACAGGAUUAGAUACCCUGGUAGUCCACGCCGUAAACGAUGAUCACUCGCUGUUGGCGAUACACAGUCAGCGGCUAAGCAAAAGCAUUAAGUGAUCCACCUGGGGAGUACGGCCGC
rnacentral:rRNA from 1 species